GAUGAACGCUAGCUACAGGCUUAACACAUGCAAGUCGAGGGGAAACGAUAGAGAAAGCUUGCUUUUUCUAGGCGUCGACCGGCGCACGGGUGAGUAACGCGUAUCCAACCUGCACAUCACUUGGGGAUAACCUUGCGAAAGUAAGACUAAUACCCAAUGACGUCCAUAGAAGACAUCUGAAAGGGAUUAAAGAUUUAUCGGUGAUGGAUGGGGAUGCGUCUGAUUAGCUUGUUGGCGGGGUAACGGCCCACCAAGGCGACGAUCAGUAGGGGUUCUGAGAGGAAGGUCCCCCACAUUGGAACUGAGACACGGUCCAAACUCCUACGGGAGGCAGCAGUGAGGAAUAUUGGUCAAUGGGCGAGAGCCUGAACCAGCCAAGUAGCGUGCAGGAUGACGGCCCUAUGGGUUGUAAACUGCUUUUAUAAGGGAAUAAAGUGAGCCUCGUGAGGCUUUUUGCAUGUACCUUAUGAAUAAGGACCGGCUAAUUCCGUGCCAGCAGCCGCAGUAA
rnacentral:rRNA from 1 species